ACAUGCAAGUCGAACGGUGAAGGCGGAGCUUGCUCUGCUGGAUCAGUGGCGAACGGGUGAGUAACACGUGAGCAAUCUGCCCCUGACUCUGGGAUAAGCGCUGGAAACGGCGUCUAAUACUGGAUACGAGCUGCGAAGGCAUCUUCAGCAGCUGGAAAGAACUUCGGUCAGGGAUGAGCUCGCGGCCUAUCAGCUUGUUGGUGAGGUAAUGGCUCACCAAGGCGUCGACGGGUAGCCGGCCUGAGAGGGUGACCGGCCACACUGGGACUGAGACACGGCCCAGACUCCUACGGGAGGCAGCAGUGGGGAAUAUUGCACAAUGGGCGCAAGCCUGAUGCAGCAACGCCGCGUGAGGGACGACGGCCUUCGGGUUGUAAACCUCUUUUAGCAGGGAAGAAGCGAAAGUGACGGUACCUGCAGAAAAAGCGCCGGCUAACUACGUGCCAGCAGCCGCGGUAAUACGUAGGGCGCAAGCGUUAUCCGGAAUUAUUGGGCGUAAAGAGCUCGUAGGCGGUUUGUCGCGUCUGCUGUGAAAUCCCGAGGCUCAACCUCGGGUCUGCAGUGGGUACGGGCAGACUAGAGUGCGGUAGGGGAGAUUGGAAUUCCUGGUGUAGCGGUGGAAUGCGCAGAUAUCAGGAGGAACACCGAUGGCGAAGGCAGAUCUCUGGGCCGUAACUGACGCUGAGGAGCGAAAGGGUGGGGAGCAAACAGGCUUAGAUACCCUGGUAGUCCACCCCGUAAACGUUGGGAACUAGUUG
rnacentral:rRNA from 1 species